GAAUUGACACUUACAUCAUGUGACAGUGCCUCGUAAAUAAUCAGUACGACGUAGCUGUAAGAAGUGUUCAAAAUCCAGACAAGAGAUUGCGUGAAAAAAACGUUCGAAGGAUACAGGGUAGAAAGGGUCUGACUCAAGAAUGGGAACAUUCUUAACAAGAAAGAAACGGAUGAAGACACAACAGAAGGGGCCAUGGGGCGCUGUGUUGUAUUUUAAAUAGUUAAAUCUGUUAUCAAUUUCUAUUCUGACUUGUAAUGUUAAAAAAGGUAGAGAAAAUGAACUCCUGUUUAUCUGAAUUAGCUAGGCUCACGUUGAUAAACUACACAGAUUUGAGUCGCUGCAAUUAAAAUUGUUUUCCCAAUGUAUCCUUCAAU